GAGCUAUAGCGCCCUGCCUGUUCUGGGCUUCUUGCAGAGCCUCUUCAGCUGCAGAGAAGCAGCUCUCCUUUCUCCAAGUCCAGAGCCAACAGGACGAAUAAUGAAGCUGUUGGGAAGAUUUACUGAUAAUACAUGUAAAGGGUCUAGCACAUUUUAGGAGCUCAAGGAGGAGAAAAGGUUCCCUCGAAGGACGUCUUUGCUUGCGCGUUCACGGAGCCUUGAGAACGAGUGGCCGAGGGGACCCCUGCGGCCCUGCGCGCCUAAGGGAGGACCUGACUCCUUUCAGAAUUAGCAUUUCUUCCCCUUCGUGGGUGCUCUUGAGUUCCAAAGAAAAGGAAGAGAAGCCUUCAUUGAGCAGCUUCUUCUGCCUUAGGGACUGUGCUAGGGGGUAGAUCGACCUUAGGGGAAACAAUCCCCGCUUAUUAGAGGAGGUUUUGGAUCAGGGUUUGCUUUAUUUGAAAUUUAACAAAUACAGAAAAGCAGAAGGAAGAAAAUUGAAGUAAUCCAUGUUUCCACUGGGCG
rnacentral:lncRNA from 1 species